CAAAAUAUUGAUUCACUUGUAUUCAAGAUGUCAAGCAAAUAACAAAGUAGUGAAACUGAGAAACUUUUAUACUAUUUUCAAUGAUUGAAGUGCAGAUCGAAACAUUGUCAAGUUAUUUUUAUCAACUUCUUUUGUACUUUGCUGCAAUAGCUGGCCGAGGGCAAUGUAUUGUCAGGAUCAACACUGCUGAAUCCCAAUCAUUGAUAUGUGAUAGUGGGGGUUGCUCCAAUGUCCUCCAUGUGGAUGAGAGGGAACCAAGUGUUGUCAACACCAAAAGAAAGUCGGGGGAUAGACACCAAGAUUGUGGCUGCAGGUUGUUGUAAAUCAUUAGAGAUUCUGCAAGACCCUGUAAAGGGUCCCUGACUUUUGUUUUAAUGGGACAUGUGUCAAAGACAAAUGGGAAUAUGGUGCAAGUAUCUUUUGAUAUUUGAUGGGUCCCAUUGCCGGCUGACAACACAAGGUUUCUCAGGAGGAAAUGACCUCACAACCUCAUUAGUCCUCCAACAAGUGGAUAUGUGGUUUAUUCUCCUAUGAGAGGAUAUGCCCCUUCCCUCCCUCAAGAAAAUGUGUACUCUACCCUCCCUGAAAAGGAUAUGCCCUCUGUCCUCCCUCAGCAGGAUAUACCCUCUAUCCACCCUUAAGAGGAUAUACCAUCUACCUUCAAUUGGGAUGGUAUGCCCUCUACCCUCCAACAAGAGGAUAUGCCCUCUACCCUUCCAAAUGGGGAAUAUGUCUCCUUUCCUGCCUCAAGAGGAUGUGUUCUCUACCUUUCAUUGGAAUCAGUAUGAGGAGAAUAUGGAGAAAAAAGAAAGAGGGAUUACCAGAAUGUCCCUCUUGAAGGACGGUAACUGGCAUCAUCUGUACAUGGUGACAUUAUAGGAAAAGAAGGUUACCUGUACAGGAAACUGUUUCACAUUCACAGUGGAAAUGGAGAAGAAACGGAGACCAUUGCUAUAUUAUGCCAGUAUGAGAUCAAUACAAGUACAGGUACCUUCAUGUCAGCAAGACGUCAGAUGCAGUACUCCACUCUACAGAAUGAAAGGCAGACAUUCCCAAAGACAUCACCACUGAACAAUGAGAGGGCUGUGUAUGGUCAUACUUGUACCACCUUGGAAAGGUAAGAUUACAUAAAAGCUUAACCAAUCUAACAUGUAAUUUUUUCCCUCUUUAUACAUGUAGAUUGAAAUAGACAGAUAUAAAAUGUUAUUUUCAUAAUGUAACUAUGUUAUGUUUUGACUUGUUUUUAGCAAUAUGACUUGUACAAUUAACAGCUUAAAUCACCCUCGAGUAAAUGGGUGAACUGCAGUCCUCUUGUGGCAGCAUUGGUGGUGGUGAUUGUGGUGGAUGUGGUGUCUGUCAGAUGUGCUCUCUCUAGCGGCAUAUAGGGCCGUCUGUGGUGGAGUGUGUGUCAAUUUGUCCAGUUACCGUCCUUCAAGACAUUGCUCUCUAAAGUGGGAUAGAGGCUUAUCCUGACAGCCCAUCAGUUCUGUCAUUGCUGACCUUAUCGAGGAUUUGGAGGAAGAAGACCUCUCUCCAACACCAAUAAUAGUGCCAAUGAUCCAUAAAAUGAUUUCCUGUGUGACUGGGGACAAAAGCUCUCACCUCCUACAACCAUGUACAGAGCAGAGGAAGAGGACAUUGGACACUCCUACACUUCUCUAAUUUUGUAUUAUUGUCUGCAACCUUUCUGCUAACUCUGAAUGCUAAAGUUGCGGCUGUUAAUUAAGUGUUUUGCUGAUACUACUGUUGUUAUUUUACUCUGUGCAUAUCG